rnacentral:rRNA from 1 species
UCGAGAAUCUUCGGCAAUGGGCGCAAGCCUGACCGAGCGAUGCCGCGUGCGGGAUGAAGGCCUUCGGGUUGUAAACCGCUGUCAGAGGGGAUGAAAUACGUCGGGGGUUCUCCCCCGGGUUUGACAGAUCCUCAGAGGAAGUGUGGGCUAAGUUCGUGCCAGCAGCCGCGGUAAGACGAACCACACAAACGUUAUUCGGAAUUACUGGGCUUAAAGGGUGCGUAGGCGGCCUGGCAAGUUGGGUGUGAAAUACCUCGGCUCAACCGAGGAAUGGCGCUCAAAACUGCCGGGCUUGAGGGAGAUAGAGGUGAGCGGAACUUAAGGUGGAGCGGUGAAAUGCGUUGAUAUCUUAAGGAACACCCGUGGCGAAAGCGGCUCACUGGAUCUCUUCUGACGCUCAGGCACGAAAGCCAGGGGAGCGAACGGGAUUAGAUACCCCCGUAGUCC